rnacentral:rRNA from 1 species
GACAGAGGGUGCAAACGUUGUUCGGAAUUACUGGGCGUAAAGCGAGUGUAGGCGGUCCUCUAAGUUUGAUGUGAAAGCCCUGGGCUUAACCUGGGAAUGGCAUUGGAUACUGAUAGACUAGAGUCGGACAGAGGGCCGUGGAAUUUCCGGUGUAGCGGUGAAAUGCGUAGAGAUCGGAAAGAACAUCGAUGGCGAAGGCAGCGGCCUGGGUCCAGACUGACACUGAGGUGCGAAAGCGUGGGGAGCAAACAGG